rnacentral:pre_miRNA from 1 species
ACACGCGUCCUUUGGGGAGCCUGUUAAAAUGCAGGGUCUGAAUCAGCAGAUUUUUGGGCGAGCCUGAGACUCUGCAUUUCCAGCAGGCUCCCAGGGGACGCUGAA